AGACCAGUGAUUUAGGACAUGUUUUGGCGCCUGGUGACCAAUCACAGGCGAGGUUAAGUGUCAAGAUUUGUAAAGAACACAAGAAGUUUUGACAUCACUGCGCAGGUGGCGUGCAAUCAGCAAAACUGUUUUCUCGAUUUUUCAGCGAUCUAAUUUGGGAGAGUUUGUGAGGGUCUCCCCGAAGAAAGACAACUAUUCACUUGUAGUUAAUUUUUUUUGUAACGUCUGGAGGUUAUCAUGCCGAAGAAACAUUGCUGUUCGCUUCUGAAAUCACUGAAGGGAUUCGGUCAUUUCAUAAUUACACAUCUUCGCCCAAGAACUAUUCAUUCGACAGCUUGAAACGGAUUUGACAACACCAAGAUCUGCAGGAGGUACUUUCUCUAUCUUGGUGAGCCGCCAGCAAACCAGUGAAGAAGCGACAAUGUAUUGAAGAUUUAAA